AUGCAGGAAAAAGCUCAUUCAAAUCUACUGGAGAUGGGAAUACUAGGGAAUAGGGCAAGAAGAUUUUUUCGCCAGAGUCCACUUUGUGUGGCGUUUGAUGGCCAUCUUGACCCGCCGGUCUCCGGCACGGACGGAGCGAUCCUCCUUACUGGUGGAGUUUCUACAAAGGAAGAGUGGGUCAUGGCCUGCCAAGUACUUGAUCCUUUGAUCACGCCGCCUCUGCCUCUGCUGCAGGCCUGCACUGCCUUGAUCAUGGCCAAGCCGCCGCCGAAUGACCCGCCCGCGCUUCGGAGCAUUGUCGCACUCUCUAUCUGGUCAAAUACUAUGAGGCGCCGGGUCUACAUAUGGAGCAAUCGCCUAAAUAAAUCAGGUGUUAUCUUUCCUAUAUAUUUUAUCAGUAUAUAUUUUUUCCUGUGA
rnacentral:rRNA from 1 species